rnacentral:rRNA from 1 species
CAGUCGCCGCGGGAAUACGUAGGUGGCAAGCGUUGUCCGGAAUUACUGGGCGUAAGGGGCUCGCAGGCGGUUUCUUAAGUCUGAUGUGAAAGCCCCCGGCUCAACCGGGGAGGGUCAUUGGAAACUGGGAAACUUGAGUGCAGAAGAGGAGAGUGGAGUUCCACGUGUAGCGGUGAAAUGCGUAGAGAUGUGGAGGAACACCAGUGGCGAAGGCGACUCUCUGGUCUGUAACUGACGCUGAGGAGCGAAAGCGUGGGGAGCGAACAGGAUUAGAUACCCCCGUAGUCCCUGUCUCUUAUAC